UAGAGGAAGUAAAAGUCAUAACAAGGUUUCUGUAGGUGAACCUGCAGAAGGAUCAUUA
rnacentral:rRNA from 4 species